AGUUGGGGUUGGAAAAUGAUAAUGAUAAUAUCUUAUCUCCAGUAUAUAGAUCAUCACCGUCAGAAAAAAAAAAUAUUGUUUCGUUUUUUAACUGUGUGUAUUACCAGUGUUAUUUACAAAAUAUGCUUUUCAAUCGCUGAAUAAUAUUAGUAUAUAAAUUUUUUGAAAUAAUAGUGACGUCUCAUGGCAACCACUAAACUAAGCAGGGCCGGCUCAUGAAGGAAUGAGGGAAGACAAUAAGUGCAAUGGUCUGGGCCCAGUACUAUAUCAUGCGAUCUAAAUAUUCA
rnacentral:lncRNA from 1 species